ensembl:lncRNA uncharacterized LOC107600127
CCAGGUGGAACUGCAUGAUGGUUUUUUUUUUCCUCUCUGUCUUUAGGUUUACUUUGAUUGUGGCGCCAAGGUGGAUGUUGUGGAUGUGCAGGGCCUCAUUCUGUCACCUGGCUUCCCGUAUAACUAUUCAUCUGGAACUCACUGUGUUUGGCAGUUCUUUGUACCUGUUGGUCAUCAGCUAGUCAUGGAGAUGUUUGAUUUUGAUGUCUUUGAGAGUCACAACAGUCCUGCAAGAUAUACCACCACAUCUGCUGCCAUUGUGGAUGAGGAACUGAAAGAUGGUGGCUCGCUUGUAUCAAAAAGCCUCGGGAGUCCAAAGGAACCCCAGUCCACACACAGAGAGGAUGUCAAGCAAGUGGUGAUCCAAGAGCAGUCCACCAAAAUGGAGAUGACCAAAGUUUCCAAUUCUGCCAAAAUGCUUUCUGAUUCCCCCUCAGCUCCACAAGCAUCUCUUCCAGUUGAAAACAGAAAUUCUAUUUCAUCUCAGGCAUCAAGAGCAGCCAGUGACUUUAUCUCUACAAGCCCACAUACAGCCACAGAAACAGAUGACGCUUUGAGCACUGAGACCCAGCCACCUUUGUUUGAUGCCUGUCCCCAUGAUGUCCUCUACAUAUCUGAUCUCAUGACAUUCUCCUCCCGAUUCUGUGGUUCUAGACGCCCUUCUAGCAGCCAGUUGGUGUUUGGGUCUGAUGAUGACAUGGUGGAGGUCAUUAUGGAGUUGAUUACCACUACUCACUGGGGCCGUGGUUUCGCUCUCCUCUUCCAUUAUCAGAAUCAAACACAGGCAGCCACAAGAGAACAGCAGAGAUCGCUAGUGACCUCGGACAGCAGAACUGGUGCACUGCUCGGUGCUAUAAGUGGAACAAUUGUGUUUGCUGUGGCCCUUGCUGGCAUCCUCUGUGUGAUUUUCAGGCCAAAACUAUGCGCAAAAGGUGCCAAUGCUUCCUCUUCCAUCAGCUCAGAGGUUCCAGAAGGAGUGCUAAAUUCAGCGGCAGAUGUGAGUGAACUUCAGAUGGUUUCUCCUAAUCACUUGGAGCAGCAGUCGGGUACAGUGAACGACAACAACAACCAUUCCCUCAACCGCAGUCUGUCCCAUACAGGGUCUUCAGUGAAUGGAGUAUGUGACGUGUCAGAGAAGGCCGCACUAGAGCAGUUCUCCAGUGGUUUGACUGAAUUAGAAUUAGGCACAGAUGAGGUUUUUGUCAUCGCUUCUGCACCCAACUCAGCCCAACUGCCUUUCUCUCCACAUACUCAACAAGACCGUUUUCUGAGACAUAGUGACACGGGACCCAGCCGCCCCUUUGACUGGCCGACUCCAGACCAAGCGCUGCCUUCUGUGACAAAGAGCAGCCAUGCCGGAUCGACAAACAGCGCACGACCACGAGCAUGGAGCGUCCGAACCUUCCAGGAUCUCCUUCCACCUCUUCCUCAACUCCAUAAGAAAUGGUGCAGCUGGAACUCAACCAGCCCAUUCACAAAGCUGGUGGACCGUGGACUCCCAAUCACAGCUACAGACUCUGGAAGGGGAAAGGUCCUAUCUGAUGCUCCUCUUCAUAGUCCUGCCAACAGCUGCCAGUCCGACUCCUUCAUGAGUAACGCCUCGUAUCCCCUGACUCAACCCGCCCAGUGCCAGCGACGCCUCAACUCCACCAGCAACCUCCGACGCGCACGUUUCAACACUCCAUGCUUUGGCCUGCUCUCUGGCACAUCCGAGUUCUCCAAACCACAAGCGAAUAGAAUUACAACCUCAAACGCGUUCUCCGACACCAGCGGUGCCCCAUCUAGCCAGCUGCAGGUCAAAGGUCCAAUAUCAGGCAUCGAGGAUGACCACGUCACGGUACCAGUGUUUGCAAUCUCAGAAGAGGAAGACCGACAGCCUCUUGUGUCAGCAGAACAUCCCGAGAAGCCUUUGAGGAUGAAUGGACAGAUGUUUGAAGGCACAAAGAUGCCACUGCUAUCGAAAAGCCAAGUUCCCAGCAUCCAACCAAUCUCUUUAGCGAGGGGAGGCCGUGGUGGAGCACUGGAGACGCAGGAUCCUUCAGCUCUCUCUUGUUAACAGUGACUCCAGAAAUAAAGUCUGCCAGUGCCAUGAAGUUUGAGUAUGAUGCUCAUGUGACCAAUUAAGCCAAUACAUGAUCUCAACAGGAUUGAAAACUCACAGCUUAUGAGCUGCUCCUGAUGUCUUCAUAUGGUGUGAAGCACAUGCAAUAUGCUGUGGAGUUUCAAAAGGGUUUGUUAUGAAUAUUGGCAUGAGGGAAAAAUGUAAGCACUUAUUGUUCUUCCUGUUAUUGUAUCUGCACAGUUAAUUUGCUAAAACCAUCUAACAGUAUAUUUUAUAACCUGCAAAUGUAUGUAUAUGAUAAACCAAGAUCACUUAAUGUUUCUACUCGCUACAGGGAGUUUGAGUUUGUAGACUGGGUGCAUUAUUACUUUCAUUAUGAAAUUCCAUGUAUCUGCUCUAUGAACAAUACGGCUUGUUCUAAUCCCUUUGCAACACGUAGAAGACCAAUUAGCUGGUCUGGUAGAAAGCUGCUUGGCAUCUCUCGACUUCCACACAUUUUGUUUCUUGUAAUCACUAAGGGUCCAAUACACAUAUUGUACUGUUAUGUAUGAAUGGAAAUGGCAUAUAUAUAUAUAUAUAUAUAUUCUUAUUUCUCAAGGGACAUAACCACUGAAAAUUUUGUUUCUACUUUCUUCUACAAUCAAGUUACUGUUUUUUCACCUGUAUCACUUACUAUGUGCCUUGUGGCAAUCAUCUACGCUGCUAAAUAUGCACUGAUGCAAUACCUGAAAUUGUGUAUACGGUCAUAUUUUUAUAACGAAUUCAAGUUCAUAUGCUGCAACUGUUUUCAUUAUAAUGGUGAGUUUUCCUGAAUGCAGUAAUGUCAACUGUACUGACUGAUGGAUUAUAAAGGGAACUGAUCACUGUACAUUUAAAAUGCAGUAACUAACAUUUAAUGCAAAUAAAACCUUGUAUAGUGAUGUUGUGUGGAGCUGUAUUUUCUUGUACAACCUUUUCAGAAUAUGCAUAGAAG